rnacentral:rRNA from 1 species
UACGAAGGGGGCUAGCGUUGUUCGGAAUUACUGGGCGUAAAGCGCACGUAGGCGGAUCUGUAAGUUGGAGGUGAAAUCCCAGGGCUCAACCCUGGAAUUGCCUUCAAGACUGCGGAUCUGGAGGUCAGGAGAGGCGAGCGGAAUUCCGAGUGUAGAGGUGAAAUUCGUUGAUAUUCGGAGGAACACCAGUGGCGAAGGCGGCUCGCUGGACUGAUACUGACGCUGAGGUGCGAAAGCGUGGGGAGCAAACAGG